UACGUAGGGUGCAAGCGUUGUCCGGAAUUAUUGGGCGUAAAGAGCUCGUAGGCGGUUUGUCGCGUCUGCUGUGAAAACUGGAGGCUCAACCUCCAGCCUGCAGUGGGUACGGGCAGACUAGAGUGCGGUAGGGGAGAUUGGAAUUCCUGGUGUAGCGGUGGAAUGCGCAGAUAUCAGGAGGAACACCGAUGGCGAAGGCGGGUCUCUGGGCCGUAACUGACGCUGAGGAGCGAAAGCAUGGGGAGCGAACAGG
rnacentral:rRNA from 1 species